rnacentral:rRNA from 1 species
GACGAACGCUGGCGGCGUGCUUAACACAUGCAAGUCGAACGGAAAGGCCCUGCUUUUGUGGGGUGCUCGAGUGGCGAACGGGUGAGUAACACGUGAGUAACCUGCCCUUGACUUUGGGAUAACUUCAGGAAACUGGGGCUAAUACCGGAUAGGAGCUCCUGCUGCAUGGUGGGGGUUGGAAAGUUUCGGCGGUUGGGGAUGGACUCGCGGCUUAUCAGCUUGUUGGUGGGGUAGUGGCUUACCAAGGCUUUGACGGGUAGCCGGCCUGAGCGGGUGACCGGACACAUGGGGACUGAGAUACGGCCCAGACUCCUACGGGAGGCAGCAGUGGAGAAUAUUGCACAAUGGGCGGAAGCCUGAUGCAGCAACGCCGCGUGCGGGAUGACGGCCUUCGGGUUGUAAACCGCUUUCGCCUGUGACGAAGCGUGAGUGACGGUAAUGGGUAAAGAAGCACCGGCUAACUACGUG